rnacentral:rRNA from 1 species
UACAGAGGGGGCAAGCGUUGUUCGGAAUUACUGGGCGUAAAGGGCGCGUAGGCGGCCUGUUAAGUCGAACGUGAAAUCCCCGGGCUCAACCCGGGAACUGCGUCCGAUACUGGCAGGCUUGAAUCCGGGAGAGGGAUGCGGAAUUCCAGGUGUAGCGGUGAAAUGCGCAGAUAUCAGGAGGAACACCGGUGGCGAAGGCGGAUCUCUGGGCCGAUACUGACGCUGAGGAGCGAAAGCGUGGGGAGCGAACAGG